GCGCCCAUAGCUCAGGUGGAUAGAGCAUCGGCCUUCUAAGCCGAGGGUGCCUGGUUCGAAUCCAGGUGGGCGCG
rnacentral:tRNA from 1 species